rnacentral:rRNA from 1 species
UAGGGAAUCUUCCACAAUGGACGAAAGUCUGAUGGAGCAACGCCGCGUGAGUGGAGAAGGGUUUCGGCUCGUAAAACUCUGUUGUUAAAGAAGAACACGUAUGAGAGUAACUGUUCAUACGUUGACGGUAUUUAACCAGAAAGUCACGGCUAACUACGUGCCAG